rnacentral:rRNA from 1 species
UCUAGAGGCUUCGGCAAUGGGGGCAACCCUGACCGAGCGACGCCGCGUGUGUGAUGAAGGCCUUCGGGUCGUAAAGCACUGUCAGCAGGGAAGAAGGCCCGGGUGGAGACCCUCCCGGGAUUGACGGUACCUGCAGAGGAAGCCCCGGCUAACUCCGUGCCAGCAGCCGCGGUAAUACGGAGGGGGCAAGCGUUAUUCGGAAUUAUUGGGCGUAAAGAGCGCGUAGGCGGAGAUUCAGGUUCGACGUGAAAACGCUACUGCUCAACAGAGCGACUGCGUUGAAAACCGGAUCUCUUGAGUGUGGUAGAGGUUGGCGGAAUUCCUGGUGUAGCGGUGGAAUGCGCAGAUAUCAGGAAGAACACCGAUGGCGAAGGCAGCCAACUGGGCCACGACUGACGCUGAGGCGCGAAAGCCAGGGUAGCGAACGGGAUUAGAUACCCGGGUAGUC